rnacentral:rRNA from 1 species
CAGCAGCCGCGGUAAUACGUAGGGGGCUAGCGUUGUCCGGAAUCACUGGGCGUGAAGGGUACGCAGGCGGUCUAGUAAGUCAAGAGUGAAAUCCAUCGGCUCAACCGGUGAACUGCUUUUGAAACUAUUAGACUUGAAUAGGGAGAAGGAAGUUGGAAUUCCUAGUGUAGUGGUGAAAUACGUAGAUAUUAGGAAGAAUACCAAUGGCGAAAGCAGCUUCCUAGCCUAAUUCUGACGCUGAGGUACGAAAGCUAGAGUAUCAAACGGGAUUAGAUACCCCGGUAGUUCUAGCUGUAAACGCUGGACACUAGGUGUCGGGGGUUCAACUCCCUCGGUGCUGCAGUUAACGCGAUAAGUGUCCCGCCUGGGGACUACGAUCGCAAGAUUGAAACUCAAAGGAAUUGACGGGGGCCCGCACAAGCGGCGGAACAUGUGGUUUAAUUCGAAGCAACGCGAAGAACAUUACCAGGGUUUGACAUCCUAUGCCCAUUUGUGAAAGCAAAGUUUGACUCUUACGAGUCACAUAGUGACAGGUGGUGCAUGGCUGUCGUCAGCUCGUGUCGUGAGAUGUUGGGUUAAGUCCCGCAACGAGCGUAACCCCUGUUCUUAGUUGCCAGCACGUAAUGGUGGGGACUCUAAGAAGACUGCCACAGAAUAAAUGUGGAGGAAGGUGGGGAUGACGUCAAGUCAUCAUGCCCCUUAUACUCUGGGCUACACACGUGCUACAAUGGUCUAAACAGAGGGUAGCAACACCGCAAGGUGAAGCGAAUCUCACAAAUUAGAUCUCAGUUCGGAUUGCAGAUUGUAAUUCAUCUGCAUGAAGCUGGAGUCGCUAGUAAUCGUGGAUCAGAAUGCCACGGUGAAUAUGUUCUCGGGCCUUGUACACACCGCCCGUCACACCACCCGAGUCGGGGACACCAGAAGUCAUUCGCAAUAGCGAGUGCCGAAGGUGUGCCUGGUAAGCGGGGUGAAGUCGUAACAAGGUAGCCGUA